rnacentral:lncRNA from 1 species
UCGGAUCAGCUCACGACGUGCUCACUCUUCACCUCGAUGGAUCGCUCAAGAAGAUGCUCAAGGAUGCAGGAGCUCUCUGGCUUUGAUCUCUAAUCAUGUUGUAUGAAAGAAAGAAAGAAAGAAAGAAAGAAAGAAAGAAAGAAAGAAAGCAUCAUUACUGUUGGAUCAAACAAGGCCAACUGUGUGAACUGUGUGAAACUGUAAUUGUAGUUUUUUUUUUUAAAGCAUGAGUUUGAAAGGUGAAGCAUAGAGCUCAGUUUUAUUCAUGAGCUUUGAUGUAAUGUAGCUUCACUUUGACUCAACUCAUCACUCUUUGUAACUUUCUUACCUCAAUGGGAUAUGCU